rnacentral:rRNA from 1 species
UACGUAGGGUGCGAGCGUUGUCCGGAAUUAUUGGGCGUAAAGGGCUCGUAGGCGGUUUGUCGCGUCGGGAGUGAAAACUCGGGGCUUAACUCCGGGCCUGCAGUGGGUACGGGCAGACUAGAGUGCGGUAGGGGAGACUGGAAUUCUCGGUGUAGCGGUGAAAUGCGUAGAUAUCGAGAGGAACACCUGCGGCGAAGGCGGGUAGCUGGGCCGACACUGACGCUGAAGCGCGAAAGCUAGGGGAGCGAACGGG